GGAACGGGUGAGUAACGCGUGAGCAACCUGCCUAUGACAGUGGGAUAGCCUCGGGAAACCGGGAUUAAUACCGCAUAAAAUCGUAGAAACACAUGUUUUAACGGUCAAAGAUUUAUCGGUCAUAGAUGGGCUCGCGUCUGAUUAGCUAGUUGGUGAGAUAACAGCCCACCAAGGCGACGAUCAGUAGCCGGUCUGAGAGGAUGAACGGCCACAUUGGAACUGAGACACGGUCCAA
rnacentral:rRNA from 1 species